AUUGAACGCUGGCGGCAGGCUUAACACAUGCAAGUCGAACGAGUGGCGGACGGGUGAGUAAUGCUUGGGAAUCUAGCUUAUGGAGGGUGAUAACUACGGGAAACUGUAGCUAAUACCGCACACCAUAAGAUGUGCCCAAGUGGGAUUUGGUAGUUGGUGGGGUAAAGGCUGACCAAGCCGACGAUCUCUAGCUGGUCUGAGCGGGUGACGUGGCACAAUGGGACGGAGACACGGCCCAGACGCCUACGGGAGGCAGCAGUGGGGAAUAUUGCGCAAUGGAGGCAACAUGACGCAGCAAUGCCGCGUGAAUGAAGAAGGCCUUCGGGUUGUAAAGUUAUUUCGGUAGCGAGGCGUUAACUACAGAAGAAGCACCGGCUAACUCCGUGCCAGCAGCCGCGGUAAUAC
rnacentral:rRNA from 1 species